rnacentral:tRNA from 1 species
GAUUUGGUUAAUACUCAACAUAACUUUUAAUCAUGUGGUCGUGGGUUCGAUCCCCACCCGGCUCA